UCGUUUACAAGAUCGACGGCGGUGUGGAGAAGAGAGCAGGAGGUUGAGACUACAAGCUUGUCUGAAUCAAUGCAGAAAGAUAUAACAGGUCAACGGUUGAAAUUUUUGUUUCUCAGUAAUCCCUUAGUAUAUUGUCGGUGACUCGGUAAAAGGAAGAUGAUUAUGGAAGCACUUAUAUUAUAUACCUUUUCCAACAACACCCUCAAGUGCCUCCAAGGUGCUGAGGGACGCAGCAAAGUCGUUGGCCCAGAUGUUCCUUCCAUCAACAACACCAGCGAAGAGGUACUUUCCCUCGGGGAAACCAGCCUUGACCAAAUCAAGGGUCUUGGUGCCACGAACCAAGUCAAAUCCAAAGGCAGUCACACCCUUCAACGAAGUCAGGGUCUUGUAUGCUUCAGCAGGGAUAUCAGCGAAGUAAGUCUCAACAAGAACAUUCAAACCAGAAAGAGUUGAUUCAAGUUCAGCAUAGGCUCCAGUGAAGGCCUGGAGUUUGUGGCCCUCAAGAUCCAUAACGAGAACAGGCUCGUCGAGCUGAAUCCAGGUGGCACCAGCAGCCUUAAGCUCGGUGAUCACUUCCCUGUAGACAAAUCAAAGUAAUAAUGUCAGUGUUGGAUUACCAAUAACAUCAAGGACAUGGAUUGAAAAGUAAAAGAAAGAAUAAAGUGGUUGCAUACUUGUAGACAGGGAGAAUUUUGGGGAGAAGAGAGAGAAGGUCAAAUGACUUCUCCACACCCUUGGCAGCCUUAGAAAGCAACAAGUAAGAGACUGGGCCAACAAGUACAGGGACGGUGUCAACACCAAGCUGCAUAAACAUCAAGCUUAUCGGAUCAGAACUUUAGAUAGAAACUACUUUUGGUGCACAAAAGACAACCAGCGUCAAACUAAUCUUUAACAACUAUUCUAUCAACCGGUUGUAUUUUGUGAGUAAGCAAGCGAGUAUAUUCUUAACGUAUCAACAUCUUCUGUGAAAACCAUUCAAUAUAUCUAAAUUCAAACACUGAAUCCACGAACCCAAGUCUAUGAUCUCCAAUAAAUAGUUAUUUAUUAGUAAAUGGAUGAUAAUAAUAAAGAAAGAUACUUACAGCCUUGGCCUCCUUGUACUCAUUCACAGCCUUGUGAGAUGCGUAAGAGAACUUAACGUCAGGGCCCAACUCAGGAACAAUGUAAUGGCUGCACCAAUUAAACAUCAUUACAUUUUUCCACAACUAAGAAAAACAAACAACGUCACUGCAAGACUGCAAGAUCAGAGUUGGAGACUCACUAGUUGGUGUCAAACCACUUGGUCAUCUCCAUGGCGGGAACAGAGGCGUUACCUCUAGCCAUGGAGAAGUAAACAUCCAAACCGAUCUCACCACUGGUGUAACCGUAUCUGGGUGGAACAGCACCGAGCAUGGCGGUGGUGUCGAGAACCUGGUCGUAGUGAGCAAAGGUGUUGCUGGGGAUGUACUUGGUCCCAGCCUCAGACAUCUGCUUCCAGAUGUUAGCCCUGAGAUCAGCGGACACCUUCUGAAGAUCCUCAGCAGUGCUCUUUCCAUCCCAGAAUGAUUCCAAUGCGAACUUGAGCUCUCUCUUAGGGCCCAUACGUGGGUAUCCAACAAUGUGUGACGCCAUUUUGAUUUCUUUUUUUUUACUGCAUCAAACACAAACCAAAUCAAGAUCAGUAUCAAAUAGUAAAAUACAUUCUCUCUUUCAUAACUUUGUUAAUAUAAUAAUAAUAAAUAAGUUUCAUACUCCAAGAAAGCUGCAACUACAGUUCACGUGUUAACAAAUUAAAAUAAAAUAAAAUCGAAAAGUAGAGCUAUAGCAGCUUUUGUCGUAUUAAUGAUUGAAUGAGUCCACUUCAAAGUAGAAUCGAAAACUUUUAGAUCAAAAUCACAUGCAACAUUUGAUGAUGAUUCAAAGCGGAUCUAACACAGACCAAUGAUCAUUUUCGAACGAUGAAUAUAGAUCGCAGAUCAGAUCCAGAUCUACAGAUCGACCGACACCAAAAAAAAAAAACUCAGAUCUGCAAAUGAUGAGCUCUCUCACCGUUUAGAUCUCAGUGAUAAACACGCAAUACGAACAAACGGAUCGGGGAGGAAUGAGCUAAUAUAUUUGAAUUUAAAAAAAUCACACUCGGUAAGUAAUAAACAAUAACGUGGAGACGAAAACGAAAUGAGAAGGGGAAGGGAGCUAAAUAAGGGAGACGUGGGGAAGCCAUAAAAUCUCGGAGACGUACCUCACGGAGGAAGAAUCGGAGAAAGAGGUUUGGCUACGAUGAAGAGAGAGCGAGGAAGGAGAGUGGCUCUGUGAGUUUAUUUAUAGAUACAAUCGUUGGGCUCUGUGUGAUGUGUAGAUCUGGUGGUGGAUAUUUUAAGCAAUAAUCAUAUAUUUCAACAUUUUAUUUUAUUUAGUUUUUCUCUCAUUUUCUUUCUUUCUAAUACGGCUAUUUAUGUGUUCUGAUUUUCUGAGAUCAUUUUCUAAUUUUCUUACCAUAAUUAAGAAAAUUAAUUACUUUUAGAUUGUAAAAGUAAAACUAGACCAAAAAAGGAACAUGUAUGGACGGAACUAUGAGCAAUUUUAUUUGUUCUUCAAUGUAUUUUUAGCUAGGUAUGUAUUUUUAUUUUUUAGCCUUAAGCAUUUAAAAUGUUAACAGUUUAUACAUGGAUACUUGGAUUAUUUUUUAAGAACGAACUUUUAGAUGAUAUCUUAACGAAUUGACAGGAAUAUCGUAAUUACAAAUUUGUAAAAUACCGGUAAUGGUAUUAAAUAUUUUCAUUAGUAAAGCUAAAUCAUUUUUACAGCAGUAAAGUCCAAUCAUUUAAUUAAAACGUAUUUAUAAAAGUAUAUUAAAGCGAUUAAAUAGAGGAUUAAAACGUGAAGGGGAGUUGGUGUCUACGUAUAUGAGGGAUUAGUAGUAGUGGGUCCUACGGAGGUUGGUGGAGAUUCACAUUUCACAGUGAAGUUUCUGUUAAAUACGGCUGCGUUUAGUGUCGGCCCGAAGAGUAUCGACAUCGAGGCCUGUUCCGCAGUGUUUUGAAAACCAAGUUGGAGUGGUUAUUGAACCUGAUUAUUUUUGAUGAAUUUGAUUUUUUGCUUCAAUACUUUUUGGAAUGUUAUUAUUAGAUUCAUACAAGUUAAAUUUUCGCUAGUUAACAUGUAACUAUUUCGAUGAUGGUUCAUUUUCCUCUUUAUACAGUGGUCAGUAAAUACUAGUAGUAUUCAUCUUUUUUUUUUUGGAUCAAACUAGUAGUAUUCAUCUAUCACCCACCAAUAAAAGCUUAGGCAACUGAGAUAAACUGGAUCAAAAUAUUUUGGUGGAUGAAUAUAGUAGUAGGUAAUGAAAGGGAGAUUAUGGAUCCAUGAUGUAUAUGUUAUUGUUUUAAGAUUCAUAAACAAAGUGAUGAGUGCUCUUUUACCAAAAAAAAAAAGAAAAAAAAAAAAAAAGAAGUGAUGAGUGGUCUUCAUCUUGUUGUUUGCUUUGAUAAUUCGGCCACCAAACAUUGAUUCUAUUAACGUCAUCGCUUCCCUUGAUUACAUGGUAAUUAUCCUUCUCGUCUUAUUUUACUGAAUUUUUGGGUGUAUUUUGAAUAUUAGUGAUAUUCACAAGACUCAACAGUCCAUAUCACAUACUGCUAAUAGAUUACGAAUAUAAUAUUUAUGCACAGUGAGAUAAGUAUGUUAUAUCUUAUACCAGUCGUUAAUCCUCAGUUUUAUUACGCAACUCAAAGUCUAACCUAUAGAAUAGCACAUACACUAGUUGAUUAUUAAUUAUAAAGCUCUUUUGCGUGACUUGUAAGAUUAUUCUAAGUUCAACAACUAGUUUGGAACUGUGUAGGUCUAUUUUAAGAGAUGACGUUGUUGCAAACUCAGAAAACAGUCAACAAAGUGCUGCUUUUCCUUACGGACGCCAACAAAAUGCUUAUUAAAGACUGUUUGACACAAUAUGGAUACUAAAUUAUAGGCUAACUAUAUAGUUUGUAUUAGUUUUAUUACUAGCAAUUGUCAAUCGCACGGCAUAAGUUUAACAGCAGUUACAUGUGACUUUACAAGAAGAUUUGCAUAUGCAUCCUUAAAGUUGUUUUGUCGGUGGAUUUAGAUCUACCAUCAUAAUAACAGCAAAAGUCGUACGAGCAUUUAAUGAAAAUUCUCCUUUUCUUUUUUCAUUUUCAUUUUAUUGUUCUGCAACCUAAACAAGUAAUACCAUAAUCAAGCUCAAACGAAAAAAAAAGAAGAAGAAGAUCUGUAAUAUACUUUAUGAAAUUAUUGAACUAAUUCGUAUGCGAAUUGUGAAAAUUAUACGACUUAUGAUAUAUGGUGUACGCAUCCCUUUUUUUUUGCCAUCUUGAGUUUGGUAGAUCGUUUAGUAAACGAAUCACAAGAUCCAAAAACAUCCUUAUUGCUGGCUUAUUAAACUUUGUGAUUAAACUAUGAUAAAGGAAUGCUUUUAGGCAUGUGACAUAUUACAUGAUUACAUAUGCAUUAUGAUUUGAAUUGAAAUAUGAUAAUUUAAAUAAUUUAUAAAUCUUUUGUAAUGUAUACAUGCUAAUUUAAAGAACACAAAGACUAAGAAAUUAUUCAUCUAAUCUCAAUCACAAGGCUCCAUGUUAAAAGUGAGUAAAACAUGAAAAUGAAAGCCAACCACUUUUUAGGUAGAGUCCAUUCUUAUAGAUUACACAAUGCUAACCCUAUAGCUAGAGUUGAAAAGAACAACGAUGUAGAGCAACUCUACCUUUUAGACAAUGUUCAAAGAAGAAUCCAAACAUCAAUAAUUUCUGGAAUAAAAUUUAGGAGACUAACUUCUUAGCCUUGUAUUCUCUGCGAACUCUCCUGAGCUCUACAGUCUGGGGGAAGGAUCCAAUGGUGGUGGUUGGCAGGAUUGGGAGGUUAAGCUUCUUCUGCUGAGCAUCUAACCUAGCGCUAACAUUAGUUGCACGACGGUGGUCUGAGCCCUUCAAAGCAGCAGCCUGAGAUAACAAAUCAGAAACCAUCUCGAUCAAUAAAUGCUAAGGAGAAAUCAGUGACUGUGGAGAUGGCUGAGGUUUGCGCCAAACUUACAGCCUUCUGGACACCCUCGUUGGUGACUCUUGGGGAAGACCUCCUUGAAGCCAAAGCAGCAGCGUUGGCGGAGAAAAGGGCCUGAAAGGGAAUACAAUAUUAGCAUUCUAGUGUUUACUAAAUCAUUUACAUUGCAAAACUAUUCAAGGAUUUAAUAAAGUAGGUGGAUAAAAUUUCUACCUCAUCCUUCUGACCAGCCAAAGCCUUGGCCAGUGCGUUCACUUCAACGAUCUUCUGGGCAGCAAACGCCAACCAUGACUUGAUUUCGUCGUCAAGCUUGGUCUCGUUUACAAGAUCGACAGCGGUGUGGAGAAGAGAGCAGGAGGUUGAGACCACAAGCUUGUCUGAAUCAAUGCAGAAAGAUAACAGAUCAACGUUUGAAAUAUUUGUUUAGUAUAUUUUCGGGUGACUCAGGUAAAAGGCAGGCGAUUCUGGAAGCACUUAUUUACCUUUUCCAACAACACCCUCAAGUGCCUCCAAGGUGCUGAGAGACGCAGCAAAGUCAUUGGCCCAGAUGUUCCUUCCAUCAACAACACCAGCGAAGAGGUACUUUCCCUCGGGGAAACCAGCCUUGACUAAAUCAAGGGUCUUUGUGCCACGAACCAAGUCAAAUCCAAAGGCAGUCACACCCUUCAACGAAGUUAGGGUCUUGUAUGCUUCAGCAGGGAUAUCAGCGAAGUAGGUCUCAACAAGAACAUUCAAACCAGACAGAGUUGAUUCAAGUUCAGCAUAAGCCCCAGUGAGGGCCUGGAGUUUGUGGCCCUCAAGAUCCAUGACAAGGACAGGCUCGUCAAGCUGAAUCCAGGUGGCACCAGCUGCCUUAAGCUCUGUGAUCACUUCCCUGUACACAAAUCAAAGUCAUAAUAUCAGUGACAUGUUAGACGAUCAUUCAUAACUAAAAUAAAAAGGAAGUGAUUUCUUACUUGUAGACAGGGAGAAUUUUGGGGAGAAGAGAAAGAAGGUCAAAAGACUUCUCUACACCCUUGGCAGCCUUAGAAAGCAACAAGUAAGAGACAGGGCCAACAAGUACGGGGACGGUGUCAACACCAAGCUGCAUAACAUAAAGUUUUAUAGGAUCAGAACUUCAGAAUAGCAAUCUAGCAGAUGAAAGAAAGAAACCUACUUUAAGUGUACAAACGACAAUUAGCAGAAGAACAAGAAACUACUUUAGGUGUCAAAACACAACCAGAGUCAAAUUAAUUUAUAUCAGCUAUUCUAUCAAGUAACUGGUGUUUAUGAAUGUGCAAGUGAGUAUAUUCUUAAUUCAUCACUUGUCUAUGUGAUUAUGUGAAACAGCGUUCAGUGAAUCUAAGCUCAAACAGUAAAUCCUGGAACCAAAGCCUAUUAUCUCUAAUAGAUUAGUCCUAAAGCAGACUGUAAAAUUCAUAAGAAAUUGAAAAUAGCGAAGAAUAAUACGUACAGCCUUGGCCUCCUUGUACUCAUUCACAGCCUUGUGCGAUGCGUACGAAAAGUUAACCUCAGGGCCCAACUCAGGGACGAUGUAAUGGCUGCAUCAACAAAACAUCAUUACAUUAGUCCAAUAUUCAAAAAAAAAAGCCCAACUAACAAUGUCGCUGCAAGGGAGACGAGACUCACUAGUUGGUGUCAAACCACUUGGUCAUCUCCAUGGCGGGAACAGAGGCAUUUCCUCUAGCCAUGGAGAAGUAAACAUCCAACCCAAUCUCACCACCGGUGUAACCGUAUCUGGGUGGAACAGCACCGAGCAUGGCGGUGGUGUCAAGAACCUGAUCGUAGUGAGCAAAGGUGUUGCUUGGGAUGUACUUGGUCCCAGCCUCAGACAUCUGCUUCCAGAUACCCGACCUGAUAUCAGCAGACACCUUCUGAAGAUCCUCAGCAGUGCUCUUCUUAUCCCAGAAUGACUCCAACGCGAACUUGAGCUCUCUCUUGGGGCCCAUACGUGGAUAUCCAACAAUGUGCGACGCCAUUUUUGAUUUUCUUUAACUGCAACAAACAAAACAAACAAGAUCAAUAUCUCAUAUUUAAAUAAAAGAUUUAUUAAUAUAUAUAAUAAUAAGGCUAAGUUACUGACUCCAAGAAAGCAGCCAACAACAGUUCACGUGUACGCAAAAAAAAAAAAUAUCGAAAAGUGUAGCAGCUUUUUGUCGUAUUAUAUGAUUGAGAUAAACGAGACGAGUCCACUUCAGAGUGGAAUUUGAAAAGUUUUAGAUCAGAUCACAUGCAACAUUUUAUCACUAGGAGAUGAUCUAAAGCGGAUCUAACACACACGAGCUCAUAACGACGACCAUUUUCAAUAGAUCGCAAAUCAGAUCGAGAACCAGAUCUACGAAUCGAAUAACACUAGAAACUCAGAUCUGUGACUGAUGAAGUCUCUCACCGUUUAGAUAUACACUACGAACAAACAGAUCGCGGAGAAAUAGAACCAAAUAUGAUAUUCAAAUCUAAUCACAGUCGAGAGAGUAGUAAUAACAAUAACAACAACGUGGAGACGAAGAACGAAAUGAAUAACGAAGGGGGAAGCUAGCUAAAUAAGGGAGAACGUAGGGAAGGUAGAGAAACUCGGAGACGUACCUCACGGAGGAAGAAUCGGAGAAGAGAAGAAGAAAGGGUUGGCUACGAAGAAGAGAAGGCGAGGAAGGAGAGUGGGCUUGCGAGUUUAUUUAUAGCAAAAACAAAUAAUGAUAGAUCGUUGGGCUCUCUGCAUUAUUGUCUAGAUCUGGUGGUUGAUAUUUUCGGCAUUUAUCAUUUAUUUUUCAUUUUAUUUUCUUUUUACGGCUAUUUAUUUGCAUUUAUUUUCCUACAAUAUAUUUUCUUACCAAAAGUGUGGAAAAUUAAUAAGUAUGAAUAAAGCUAGUAAAUACGAUUCUAUCAGUACUACAACAUACCUAUCACCUUUUCAUUUUAUUUUCCCACAAUAUGUUUUGAUUUCAGAAAAAAAACAGUCACUAAUUUUCUUUAUUUGUCUCCCUCACCACAUAUUAUUUAUAAUUAAAUCAUAUAUAUACUCGAAUACUAAAUAAAAUAAAUUCAUAUAAAACUUAGUUAAAAAAAUUAUUAGUAAUUUAUGUUCUUCAAUGUAUUUUAGUUGCGUAUGUAUUUUGGCUUGAAAUUUAAAAAUAUGAACAAAGUAAUAUAUGGUUCACUAAAACGGAUCUUUAGAUAAUAUCUUAACUAAUUAACAGAAAUAUCUUAGCUUCAAAUUUGUAUUAGUAGUUUGGAUUAGUAAAGAUCAAUCUAUUUAUUUUUACUGUAGUAAAUCCUAAUCAUCUAGUUAGUCGUAUUAAGAAAUUAAAUAGAGAAUUAAAACGUGAAGGGGAGUUGGUGGUGUGCGUGGAGCGAUUAGUAGGUGGCAUGGGACCCACGGAGGUUGGUGGGGAUUCACAUUUCACAGUGAAGUUUCUGCUAAAUACGACGGCGUUUAGCAUUCAGCACGAAGAGUAUCGACAUUGAGCGCUGCUCGUGCUCGGCAGCGUUUUGGAAACCAUGUGGAGGUUGAAGCUGACUAUUUUUGAUAAAAUAAAAAAUAAAUUCCCAUAAUUUGACUACUAAAAAUACAUUUUAGGUUAGUAAAUACAAUAGUCAUAAUCAUGAUAUUUAUGUUUUUAUAGAACUGGCCGAGAAAAAUAUUAUGGUUGGUGACUAUAGUUGGUGGAGAAGGAUUGUGGCCCCACAAUAUAUAUGUAAUUGUUUAAGAUUCAUAAGCAAAGUGAUGAGUGGUCUUGAUGUUGUUGUUUGCUGAUGAUUUGGCCACCGUAUAUUGAUUCUUAACUUAUAUUAUCUUCAUCGCUUCCCUUAAUUACAUCUUACUUUUUCCUUCUAAUCCUAUUUUGAAUUUUCUUUAUGUUUUUAUGAAGUUAAAUCUUGAAUAUUAAUGAUAAGCAAAAAAAUUUUGACGCUUGCAAAAUAAACUUUGUAUAGACAUCUUAAGAACCUCACUGUUUCUCAAGCUUGCGUUAGGACAUUCGAAGGACUAAAAGUCUAUAUCACAUACUAGUAGUCUAAGAAAUCUAUGCAUAGUGGGAUCGAUAUGGUUUUUCUCAUACCAAUCAUUGAUCCUUAAUUUUAUCAUGUAGUUCAAUGUUUAUAGAAGUCUAACCAUAGUACAUACACUACUUUAUUAAUGUAUAAGCUCUUGUAGAGGGAGUCGUGAGUAUGGUCCAAGUUCAAGAACUAGGUUGGACUUUUUGAGUACCAUUCUCUUGUAUCGGAAACUGUGUAGGUGUGUAUUUCGAGUUUAAAAAAUAAUAAAAUGUAGAAGAUGGUGAUGCUGCUCCAAACCGACAAUUCAGGGCCUGACUGGUUCAACCGCAGCGGUUGCGGUUGCGGGAGUUUGCGGAUGCGGGUGGUUGCGGUUUCUAGCGGUUUUAAGAGAUUCGUACGACUGGUUAUGCGGUUAGAAAUUGGUAAACUCCGAAAACACAAGGCAAAGAUCAAUCUCUAGAUGCCCUGGGAUAUCUAUUCGAAAAAGUUUCCAUACUUGGAGAAGAACCAAUCUUUAUUUCCUUUCAAUACACCUUUUUUAGCUUCCAUACUUGGAGAAGAACCAAUCUUUAUUUCCUUUAAAUACCCCUUAGAAAAAAAGAUAUGUUUCAUAAGAGAAAUGAAGGAUACAAAACGAGAAACACAAAACAAAUCCAAAAGAUACAUAUCUCUCAACUCUCUCAGCAAGAGGGGAAACCAUAUGCAUCAAACCUAACUUCAACUAGAUAUUUUUAGAAAGGUAAUUAAACAAAACAAAAACACAACCAUUAUAGAGAAAAAGAACUCAAGUAUCCUUCUUCAAAUCAUUCAUCUCUUUUCAAGCUUUUCUUCACUUGGCACUGGCGAGCUGGGAGCGGAUGAGUUUAGCCGCAUCAACCAUGUUCUUCAGGGCAGGCUUGACCUCUGUGUACUUACGGGUCUUGAGACCACAGUCAGGGUUAACCCAAAGGAUGUUCUGCUCAAGAACAGCAAGCAUCUUGUUCACUCUCUCUGCGAUUUCCUCAGUUGAUGGUAUUCUUGGAGAGUGGAUGUCGUAGACACCUGGACCAAUUCCAGCACCGUACUUCACUCCUUCACGGAACACAGAGAGAAGCUUCUCAUCAGAUCGGGAGUUCUCGAUGGUGAUGACAUCAGCAUCCAUGUCGAUGAUGGAGUGUAUGAUGUCAUUGAAGUGAGAGUAGCACAUGUGAGUGUGGAUCUGCAUAAUAACACCACCAUAAGAAAACGGAAAAAACACUUCACUCUAGUAUAUACGAGCGAUAUGUGUUUGAAGGAAGCAAACCUGGGUGGUGUCUUGGACUCCACAGUUGGUGAUUCUGAAGGAGUGAACAGCCCAGUCCAAGUAGAAAGCAUGCUCGGAUUUCCUGAGUGGUAAUCCUUCUCUGAGUGCAGCCUCAUCGAUCUGAAUGACAUUAAUACCACCUUUCUCAAGAUCCUCGACUUCGUCCUUGAUGGCCAGAGCGAUCUGGUAACAGGUCUCGUGCCUACAAAGUUUUUCAGAUAUAUACGUUUUAGUCAUUUUGUUGUAAGCUGUGUUUGUUUCAGACUUGAGAGUUUUUAUUUUGUGUACCUGGGCUGGUCAUUUCUGACAAAGGACCAGUUAAGAAUGGUGACAGGGCCGGUAAGCAUUCCCUUCAUUGGGCGAGAGGUCAUGCUCUGAGCCAUUGCGGACCAGAAGACGGUCAUUGCCUUGGGACGGCUCACAUCACCGUAGAUAACUGGUGGCUUCACACAACGAGAUCCAUAAGAUUGGACCCAUCCAUUUGCGGUGAAGGCAAAACCAGACAACUGCUCCCCGAAGUACUCAACCAUGUCGUUUCUCUACAAAAUUGUUGAAACGUGUCUCGUCAGAAACAUUAAAACGGACUACCAUCAAUAACUUUGAAUUGUCAGUACUCUACUUCGAGGGUUCAAGCAAUAACAUAUAACAUUAAAAAGAAAACACUCACCUCUGGCUCUCCGUGAACGAGAACAUCAAUGUCAAGUUCCUCUUGGAGGUCAACAACUUUCUUGAUCUCUUCCUUCAUGGCCUUAACAUAGUCCUCCUCGGAAACCCUAUCAAAGAGAUUCACCGUUAGUAUCAUACCGUUUAAGGAGAUACCAGGAAUAAAAUUUAGGAGACUAACUUCUUAGCCUUGUAUUCUCUGCGAACUCUCCUGAGCUCUACAGUCUGGGGGAAGGACCCAAUGGUGGUGGUUGGCAGGAUUGGGAGGUUAAGCUUCUUCUGCUGAGCAUCUAACCUAGCGCUAACAUUAGUUGCACGACGGUGGUCUGAGCCCUUCAAAGCAGCAGCCUGAGAUAACAAAUCAGAAACCAUCUCGAUCAAUAAAUGCUAAGGAGAAAUCAGUGACUGUGGAGAUGGCUGAGGUUUGCGCCAAACUUACAGCCUUCUGGACACCCUCGUUGGUGACUCUUGGGGAAGACCUCCUUGAAGCCAAAGCAGCAGCGUUGGCGGAGAAAAGGGCCUGAAAGGGAAUACAAUAUUAGCAUUCUAGUGUUUACUAAAUCAUUUACAUUGCAAAACUAUUCAAGGAUUUAAUAAAGUAGGUGGAUAAAAUUUCUACCUCAUCCUUCUGACCAGCCAAAGCCUUGGCCAGUGCGUUCACUUCAACGAUCUUCUGGGCAGCAAACGCCAACCAUGACUUGAUUUCGUCGUCAAGCUUGGUCUCGUUUACAAGAUCGACGGCGGUGUGGAGAAGAGAGCAGGAGGUUGAGACUACAAGCUUGUCUGAAUCAAUGCAGAAAGAUAUAACAGGUCAACGGUUGAAAUUUUUGUUUCUCAGUAAUCCCUUAGUAUAUUGUCGGUGACUCGGUAAAAGGAAGAUGAUUAUGGAAGCACUUAUAUUAUAUACCUUUUCCAACAACACCCUCAAGUGCCUCCAAGGUGCUGAGGGACGCAGCAAAGUCGUUGGCCCAGAUGUUCCUUCCAUCAACAACACCAGCGAAGAGGUACUUUCCCUCGGGGAAACCAGCCUUGACCAAAUCAAGGGUCUUGGUGCCACGAACCAAGUCAAAUCCAAAGGCAGUCACACCCUUCAACGAAGUCAGGGUCUUGUAUGCUUCAGCAGGGAUAUCAGCGAAGUAAGUCUCAACAAGAACAUUCAAACCAGAAAGAGUUGAUUCAAGUUCAGCAUAGGCUCCAGUGAAGGCCUGGAGUUUGUGGCCCUCAAGAUCCAUAACGAGAACAGGCUCGUCGAGCUGAAUCCAGGUGGCACCAGCAGCCUUAAGCUCGGUGAUCACUUCCCUGUAGACAAAUCAAAGUAAUAAUGUCAGUGUUGGAUUACCAAUAACAUCAAGGACAUGGAUUGAAAAGUAAAAGAAAGAAU
rnacentral:lncRNA from 1 species